rnacentral:rRNA from 1 species
AAAAGGAAAAUUAAUAAUUUAGGGGUAAUAAAAGUAAUUUUAAUAUUAAAAUAGGGGGUUUAAGUAUUUUAAUAGAAAAAAUUAGAAAUUUUAUAGUUAAUUAGUAUAGUAAUAGAAAUUUGAAAUAUAAUAAAAUAAAUUUAAUAAAAAGUAAAUUUAAGUUGUUGUAUCUUGUGUAUCAGAGUUUAUUAAAUAAUAUUUAUGAAUAUUUAAAUAUCUCGAAUUUAAAAGAGUUAAUUAAUUAAUAAAUUUAAUGUAAAAUAAUUAUUUUAAAUAAUUAAUUUGAAAUGAAAUGUUAUUCGUUUUUAAAUAUAUCUAGUUUUUUUAGAAAAAAAUUUAAUUUUUAAUUUUUUUUUAAUUUAUUUAAUUGUUUAAUUUAGUUAAAGAAAAAAUUAUAUAAUUUAAGGGAUAAGCUUUAAAUUAAAAAUUUAUAAUAAAAAUUUAAUAUUUAAAAUUUUUAAAAUUUAUAUUGUUUAUAAAUUAAAAUUUUUUAUAAAAAAUUUUAAAAAAAAUAAAAUUUAAAUUAAUUUAAAUUUUUAUAAAAAUAUAUUUUAUAAUUUUAUAUAAUUAGUGAUAAUGAUAAAAUUAGUAUAAAAAUAAAUAAAUUUAUAAUAAAUUAUUUAAUAAUUAAUUAAAAGGAAUUCGGCAAAUUAUUAUAUUCACCUGUUUAACAAAAACAUGUCUUUUUGAUUUUAAUUUAAAGUCUAAUCUGCCCACUGAUUUAAAAAUUAAAGGGCUGCAGUAAUUUGACUGUACAAAGGUAGCAUAAUCAUUAGUCUUUUAAUUGAAGACUUGUAUGAAAGAUUUGAUGAAAUAUAAACUGUCUCUAAAUUAAGUAUAGAAUUUAAUUUUUUAGUUAAAAAGCUAAAAUGAAUUUAAAAGACGAGAAGACCCUAUAGAGUUUUAUAUUAUUAAAAUUAAAAUAUUUAUAUAUAAUUUAAUUGUUUUAUUUUUAAUAUUAUUUUAUUGGGGUGAUAAAAAAAUUAAAUAAACUUUUUUUUUAAUUAAACAUAAAUAAUUGAAUAAUUGAUCCUGUAUUAAGAUUAAAAGAAAAAAUUACCUUAGGGAUAACAGCGUAAUAUUUUUUUUUAGUACAAAUAAGAAAAAAAGUUUGCGACCUCGAUGUUGGAUUAAGAUAAAAUUUAAAUGCAAAAGUUUAAAAUUUUGAUCUGUUCGAUCAUUAAAAUCUUACAUGAUCUGAGUUCAAACCGGUGUAAGCCAGGUUGGUUUCUAUCUUUAGAAAAAUAAAAUGUUUUAGUACGAAAGGAUCAAAUAUUUAAAAUAAUUUUUUAUAAAUGAAUUUUAUUAAUAAGUGUUAAAUAUAUGUAUGUAUAUAUGUAAAUAUAUAUAUAUAUA